rnacentral:rRNA from 1 species
GAUGAACGCUGGCGGCGUGCCUAAUACAUGCAAGUCGAGCGAACAGACGAGGAGCUUGCUCCUCUGACGUUAGCGGCGGACGGGUGAGUAACACGUGGAUAACCUACCUAUAAGACUGGGAUAACUUCGGGAAACCGGAGCUAAUACCGGAUAAUAUCUUCAACCGCAUGGUUCAAUAUUAAAAGCGGGUUUUGCGGUCACUUAUAGAUGUUUCCGGGCCGCAUUAGCUAGUUGGUAAGGUAACGGCUUACCAAGGCGGCGAUGCGUAGCCGACCUGAGAGGGUGAUCGGCCACACUGGAACUGAGACACGGACCAGACUACUACGGGAGGCAGCAGUAGGGAAUCUUCCGCAAUGGGCGAAAGCCUGACGGAGCAACGCCGCGUGAGUGAUGAAGGUCUUCGGAUCGUAAAACUCUGUUAUUAGGGAAGAACAAAUGUGUAAGUAACUAUGCACGUCUUGACGGUACCUAAUCAGAAAGCCACGGCUAACUACGUG